GAUGAACGCUGGCGGCGUGCCUAAUACAUGCAAGUCGAGCGAACGGACGAGAAGCUUGCUCUUCUGAUGUUAGCGGCGGACGGGUGAGUAACACGUGGAUAACCUACCUAUAAGACUGGGAUAACUUCGGGAAACCGGAGCUAAUACCGGAUAAUAUUUUGAACCGCAUGGUUCAAAAGUGAAAGACGGUCUUGCUGUCACUUAUAGAUGGAUCCGCGCUGCAUUAGCUAGUUGGUAAGGUAACGGCUUACCAAGGCAACGAUGCAUAGCCGACCUGAGAGGGUGAUCGGCCACACUGGAACUGAGACACGGUCCAGACUCCUACGGGAGGCAGCAGUAGGGAAUCUUCCGCAAUGGGCGAAAGCCUGACGGAGCAACGCCGCGUGAGUGAUGAAGGUCUUCGGAUCGUAAAACUCUGUUAUUAGGGAAGAACAGAUGUGUAAGUAACUGUGCACAUCUUGACGGUACCUAAUCAGAAAGCCACGGCUAACUACGU
rnacentral:rRNA from 1 species